CCUACGGGUGGCAGCAGUGGGGGAUCUUGCACAAUGGGGGAAACCCUGAUGCAGCGACGCCGCGUGGGCGAAGAAGUAUUUCGGUAUGUAAAGCCCUAUCAGCAGGGAAGAAGAAAUGACGGUACCUGCGUAGGAAGCACCGGCUAAAUACGUGCCAGCAGCCGCGGUAAUACGUAUGGAGCAAGCGUUAUACGGAUUUACUGGGUGGAAAGGGAGGGCAGGCGGCACGGCAAGCCUGAUGUGAAAGCCCGCGGCCCAACCGCGGGACUGCAGUGGGAACUACCGGGCUGGAGUGCCGGAGAGGUAGGCGGAAUUCCUAGUGUAGCGGUGAAAUGCGUAGAUAUUAGGAGGAACACCAGUGGUGAAGGCGGCCUACUGGACGGUGACUGACGCUGAGGCUCGAAAGCGUGGGGGGCAAACAGGAUUAGAUACCCUGGUAGUC
rnacentral:rRNA from 1 species